UGACGUUCAGUAAAUCAGGUGAUCAUUUUUAAUUCCUUGUAUCCUUGUUUCCAUGUUGUAUUCCUAGUAUAUAAAGUGCACUUCCCUCUGCAGCUUCAGAGAGCCUGCAGACACUCUGCUUAGAGGUUUGGGGUUUUGUGCAUUUGAAAAAUAACAGCAUAUCUAGAUUUUGACGAUUCAUUAUUUGACUUAUAUUUCAGCAGCUUAUCACUGUAAACAAUGAGGAUCAUUUUGCUUCUUUGUGCCGCCUUUGCUCUGAGCAUCGCAACAGAGCCAGUAGAGGAAGUGGCAGCGACUCAGGAGAUACAUGCAGAUGAAAACAUGUCGGUUCAGAUAUUAGAUGAGACAGAACAGAAGGAUCAGCUGCCUGUGGACGAAGUUGUAGAAGUGACUUUGGUCAUGUCAAGCAGAGCAGCUGCCGAUCCAGCUGGUCCAAAUAUGGAUCCAGAUGUUUCAUGUUAGUCCACAGAGAAUUGUCCUGGUUAGACGCAGAGAAACAUUGUAUACGUAAUGGUGCCAAUCUCGCAUCCAUCCACAACCUGGGAGAGUACCAAUUCAUCCAGGAGAUUUUGAGAGGGGCCACGAAUCGUUUUCCUCGAGCCUGGAUCGGUGGCAGUGAUGCUAUUAAGGACUUUGUUUGGCUUUGGAGUGAUGGUUCAGGGUUUUAUUUCCAGGAUUGGAGCCUAGGCGAGCCUAACAAUUUAGGAUGCACUGAGAAAUGUCUUGUGAUGAACCAACCAGAUAACCUCCUCUGGGGUGAUGCGAACUGUGAAGAAAAGCUUCUCUUCAUUUGUGGAACAAAACCUGUUUAAAUUAAAGAAGUACUCAGAUCUCAUACUUCUGUAAAGUAGCAAUGCUACAGUGUAGAGUAUUCAGAAUACUACAAGUAAAGGUACAAAAGUAUAAGCAUCAAAAUGUACUUUAAAUACCAAAAGUAUUAAUUAUGCAUAUACUGUAUAUCAUAUUGUUGAAUUAUAAAAAAUAAUGCAUUAAUGUGUACAUUACUCUAAUAUUGCAGCUUUUAAAAG